UCGGGAAUUUUGGGCAAUGGGGGAAACCCUGACCCAGCAACGCCGCGUGAAGGAUGAAGUAUUUCGGUAUGUAAACUUCGAAAGAAUAGGAAGAAUAAAUGACGGUACUAUUUAUAAGGUCCGGCUAACUACGUGCCAGCAGCCGCGGUAAUACGUAGGGACCAAGCGUUGUUCGGAAUUACUGGGCGUAAAGGGCUCGUAGGCGGCCAACUAAGUCAGACGUGAAAUCCCUCGGCUUAACCGGGGAACUGCGUCUGAUACUGGAUGGCUUGAAUCCGGGAGAGGGAUGUGGAAUUCCAGGUGUAGCGGUGAAAUGCGUAGAUAUCUGGAGGAACACCGGUGGCGAAGGCGGCAUCCUGGACCGGUAUUGACGCUGAGUGAGCGAAAGCCAGGGGAGCAAACGGGAUUAGAUACCCUAGUAGUCCCUGAGCGGGCUGGCAAGGCGCAU
rnacentral:rRNA from 1 species